rnacentral:rRNA from 1 species
UGCANGUCGANCGGGAUUCGUUUCAUUGAUCCUUCGGGUGAUUUGGUUAGAUGAGAGUGGCGAACGGGUGAGUAAUAUUUGAGCAACUUGCCCCGAAGUUCGGGAUAGCCCAUGGAAACGUGGAUUAAUACCGGAUGUGUUCGGUUACGGCAUCGUAACCUUUAUAAAGGCAGGGAUCUUCGGACCUGUCGCUUCGGGAUAGGCUCAAAACGUAUCAGCUUGUUGGUGAGGUAACGGCUCACCAAGGCUUUGACGCGUAGCUGGUCUGAGAGGACGAUCAGCCACACUGGGACUGAGACACUGCCCAGACUCCUACGGGAGGCUGCAGUCGAGAAUCAUUCGCAAUGCACGAAAGUGUGACGAUGCGACGCCGCGUGGAGGAUGAAGGCCUUCGGGUUGUAAACUCCUGUCAUAAGGGAGCAAGUAUGUUUCAUUUAAUAGAUGAGGCAUUUGAUAGUACCUUAAGAGGAAGUCACGGCUAACUCUGUGCCAGCAGCCGCGGUAAUACAGAGGUGGCAAGCGUUAAUCGGAUUUACUGGGCGUAAAGGGUCCGCAGGCGGUUUAGUGUGUCGGAUGUGAAAUGCCAGGGCUCAACCUUGGAACUGCAUUCGAAACUACUAGACUAGAGUAUUGGAGGGGAGAAGGGAACAGUUGGUGUAGCGGUGAAAUGCGUAGAUAUCAACUGGAACACCGGUGGCGAAGACGCUUCUCUGGACAAAUACUGACGCUCAUGGACGAAAGCUAANGUAGCGAAAGGGAUUAGAUACCCCUGUAGUCUUAGCCGUAAACGGUGUGCACUUGUUGUUGGUGGUUUNACCCCCAUCAGUGACGUANCUNNCGUGUUAAGUGCACCGCCNGGGGAGUACGGUCGCAAGAUUAAANCUCAAAGGNA